rnacentral:rRNA from 1 species
GAUGAACGCUGGCGGCGUGCUUAACACAUGCAAGUCGAACGGAGCCUAGCGAGUGCUUGCACUUGACGAAAGCUUAGUGGCGGACGGGUGAGUAACGCGUGGGUAACCUACCCUAUACAGGGGGAUAACAGUUGGAAACAGCUGCUAAUACCGCAUAAGCGCACAGCUUCGCAUGAAGCAGUGUGAAAAACUCCGGUGGUAUAGGAUGGACCCGCGUCUGAUUAGCUAGUUGGUGAGGUAACGGCUCACCAAGGCGACGAUCAGUAGCCGACCUGAGAGGGUGACCGGCCACAUUGGGACUGAGACACGGCCCAAACUCC